UCCUACUUAACGUAGGCAGUCCUCUAAAAAAUAUGUAAUUUAGAGCAGGGGUUGCGCUCGUUCACGGACUUAACCGAACACCUCAAGGCACGAGCUGACGACAACCAUGCAGCACCUGUCACCGAGUUCCUUGCGGCACUCCCAGGUUUCCCUAGGAUUCUCGGGAUGUCAAGCCUUGGUGAGGUUCCUCGCUUAUCGUCGAAUUAAACAACAUGCUCCACCGCUUGUGUGGGUCCCCGUCUAUUCCUUUGAGUUUUAAUCUUGCGACCGUACUCCCCAGGCGGGAUACUUAACGCGUUAGCUCAGACACUGAGGGGAUCGAUUCCCCCAACAUCUAGUAUCCAUAGUUUACGGCGUGGACUAC
rnacentral:misc_RNA from 1 species